rnacentral:tRNA from 1 species
AUUCAAAUAGCUUAUAAAGAGCAUGACAUUGAAGAUGUCAGGGAGAUUAUUGUAAUCUUUGGGUA